AUUCUCCUCUUCCGGGUAACUCCCAGUCGCAGCCAUUGGAAAGAUGAAACCCGGUGCGACUCCCGUGGCUUCCUCUGGAGAGGAUAAAAUGUUUAAAUCUAACGGAGGCCCCGUUAACUUACCGAAACACUCCUACUGGGUGGAUUUGUGGGUGUUUCUGCUUUUUGACAUCGCAUUGUUUCUCUUCGUAUAUUUCAUCGUCCCGUAAAGAGGAUCAACCCUUUGACUGACUGUUGAUGAACCAAGUGCUGCUGGUACCCUGCUGUGAGAAGGCUAACCCAGCUUUGACUGAACCACGCAGCAGCUUUCCUCAGCUCGCUCCAAAGAUUGUCACGUCUUACAGACGAGGCAUCCUGACUUCACAUCAGACUUCAGCAAGAAGCUCUUCAAUAACUAAUCAGAUGGAUUCCCUGUCGUUUCUAUCAGAUGAUAGUUUGAAGGGUUUUUUUUUUGUUUGUUUUUGCUGAGGACCUUAAAACAUCUCAACUGACUUUUAUCUUUGAGACUCAGCAAA